GUGCUCACUUCAACAGCAGAUAUCCUAAAACUGGAAUGAUGCAGAGAUUAGCAUGGCACCUGCACAAGGAUGACAAGCAAAUUUGUGAAGUGUUCCAUAUUUUU
rnacentral:snRNA from 1 species